rnacentral:rRNA from 1 species
GCAAGUCGAACGCUCACUUCGGUGAGAGUGGCAGACGGGUGAGUAACGCGUGGGAAUCUACCCAGUACUACGGAACAACAGUUAGAAAUGACUGCUAAUGCCGUAUACGCCCUCCGGGGGAAAGAUUUAUCGGUAUUGGAUGAGCCCGCGUUUGAUUAGCUAGUUGGUGAGGUAAUGGCUCACCAAGGCGACGAUCAAUAGCUGGUCUGAGAGGAUGAUC